GUUUUAAUAGUUUAAAAAAAACAUUGGCCUUGUAAGUCAAAAUUAAGACUUAAUUCUUUUAAAACU
rnacentral:tRNA from 1 species